rnacentral:rRNA from 1 species
UACGUAGGGGGCAAGCGUUGUCCGGAUUUAUUGGGCGUAAAGAGCGUGUAGGCGGCCAGAUAGGUCCGUUGUGAAAACUCGAGGCUCAACCUCGAGACGCCGAUGGAAACCAUUUGGCUAGAGUCCGGAAGAGGAGAGUGGAAUUCCUGGUGUAGCGGUGAAAUGCGCAGAUAUCAGGAAGAACACCCGUGGCUAAGGCGGCUCUCUAGUACGGUACUGACGCUGAGGCACGAAAGCGUGGGGAGCAAACAGG